UAAGGAAUAUUGGGCAAUGGACGAAAGUCUGACCCAGCCAUGCCGCGUGCAGGAAGACAGCCUUAUGGGUCGUAAACUGCUUUUUUACGGGAAAAAAACUCGAACGCGUUCGGGACUGAUGGUACCGUAAGAAUAAGGAUCGGCUAACUCCGUGCCAGCAGCCGCGGUAAUACGGAGGAUCCAAGUGUUAUCCGGAUUUAUUGGGUUUAAAGGGUGCGUAGGCGGAAUGGUCAGUCAUUGGUGAAAUCCUACAGCUUAACUGUAGAACUGCCAUUGAUACUGCUAUUCUUGAGUACAGCUGAAGUGGGUGGAAUGUGUUAUGUAGCGGUGAAAUGCAUAGAUAUAACACAGAACUCCAAUUGCGAAGGCAGCUCACUAAACUGUAACUGACGCUGAGUCACGAAAGCGUGGGGAGCGAACAGG
rnacentral:rRNA from 1 species